CGCUCAACCAAUCAGAAUUGUGUUUUAAUCCCAUUGGCUUGUCAAUUUUAUAAUAUUUUUCGUUGCUUUUACUACAGUAUUUAUAAUUUGCAAUUAAAUUUCAUUCAGAUCUUCAAAUUUUAUCAAAGAUACAAGGAAAAAUGUUGGAAAUUGCGAAUGAUCUUAAUAUUUUUUUUGCAUAUUCGAUUCGAUUGCCACGAGAUAUAUCGCCACGAGAAACACAGCGUAAAUCGAAUUUCAAACGUGUGGUGGGGAGGAUAUUCGAUAUCUCCUCGAGGUAGGAUUAUGAGUGUAACUUGUGUUUAUCAUCAGGAAAACCACUCACGCAGAGACGUUCCACGUACCAAAAGCGUAAUAUGUAUGAAUUCGCAUAAAUUUCAACUACUGAAUCGACCAUUCGUUGAUCGUUCACGUUCUAUUUUGCCCACGAUGAAUAAAUCUCUUUUUUUUUUCGUUCUUUUCUCCUUUUCGAAUUUAGUAGAUUCGGUUUUUCAAUUUUUGAAGUACAUCAUUAAAGUAUUAUUGCUCUUAUAAAUUAUAUCUAAUCAAUAACUUGAUAUUCUGAUGCCUAGUUGAAUAAUUGACCAAAUUGGAUGACCCAUAAAAGUAAACACCCCACUUCGAUCGGAUGAAUCGUUAACCUGAAUCACCCUCAAAGAGGAUCUACUCUACUUUGAAAAUUUCAACUACCAACAACAACAACAACAACCGUACAUGAUGUAGCUGGCUUGUAAAAGCGAACAGUCUGGUUAUCGGUUAAUUUAUAGCUAGACGACCUAUGUAGAUGAGGGUAGCCUCGAAUAAGGGGUCAGAUACAUGGAUGGUCGUCGAUCGAGCAUCAGGUCGAGCACCAAGGGGUCGAGAGGACACUUUCCUGUAUGUGGUUGGCCGCGAGGCGACGAUAUCGAUACGCUUCGAGACGCGAGUCGAAAGUCUGGGUUCACUCGUAGGAAUCUACUUCGAUCAGGAAUACACGCAGGAAUAUGGAACACACCCUGGAAACAAACACGAUAAACAUCAACAUGAUUGAGAAGGAUACACAAACUGUAUAGUUACUUGCUAACGAUAUAUUGAGAUUAGGGCGAUAUCGAGGGGAGAUUAAUGGAAAAAGUUUAAUUGGAAGACGUUAGAUCAAGA